CGGACGGGUGAGUAAUGUCUGGGAAACUGCCCGAUGGAGGGGGAUAACUACUGGAAACGGUAGCUAAUACCGCAUAACGUCGCAAGACCAAAGAGGGGGACCUUCGGGCCUCGCGCCAUCAGAUGAACCCAUAUGGGAUUAGCUAGUAGGUGAGGUAACGGCUUACCUAGGCGACGAUCCCUAGCUGGUCUGAGAGGAUGACCAGCCACACUGGAACUGAGACACGGUCCAG
rnacentral:rRNA from 1 species